GAAUCUGAAGAGCUGAGGUC
rnacentral:miRNA from 1 species